rnacentral:rRNA from 1 species
CGAAUUCGCCCUUCCUACGGGAGGCAGCAGUGGGGAAUAUUGCGCAAUGGGCGGAAGCCUGACGCAGCGACGCCGCGUGGGGGAUGACGGCCUUCGGGUUGUAAACCUCUUUCGACCUUGACGAAGCCUUUCGGGGUGACGGUAGGGGUAGAAGAAGCACCGGCCAACUACGUGCCAGCAGCCGCGGUAAUACGUAGGGUGCGAGCGUUGUCCGGAAUUAUUGGGCGUAAAGAGCUCGUAGGCGGUCUGUCGCGUCGGUCGUGAAAACUUGGGGCUUAACCCUGAGCUUGCGGUCGAUACGGGCAUGACUGGAGUUCGGCAGGGGAGACUGGAAUUCCUGGUGUAGCGGUGAAAUGCGCAGAUAUCAGGAGGAACACCGGUGGCGAAGGCGGGUCUCUGGGCCGAUACUGACGCUGAGGAGCGAAAGCGUGGGGAGCGAACAGGAUUAGAUACCCUGGUAGUCCACGCCGUAAACGGUGGGCGCUAGGUGUGGGGGCCAUUCCACGGUCUCUGUGCCGCAGCUAACGCAUUAAGCGCCCCGCCUGGGGAGUACGGCCGCAAGGCUAAAACUCAAAGGAAUUGACGG